AACUAAUUAUACAUAUAUAAAAGAUGAGUUAACUGUUCAUUCCGCGUUACUGUUCAUUCAUGGGCGAAAAUGCGACUUUGCCCUCAUUUGAAUUUGUUUUACGACUCUGCCACUGACCAAUUUUUUCCUCUCUCUUCCUCCUUUCUACCUCCCAAACCGAAUUUUUUCCUCUCUUCUCCCGAACAGGCAACAGCAGCUGCAGCUUGCGCUCUCAACUUCACAAAACAAUCAGUUUAUUUGACGGUGAAUAUAAUUAAGAAUGCCAUGUUCGACACAGAGAGAGAGAGAGAGAGAGAGCGAAGAAUCAAAUCGUAGGUUUUGCGCAGAAGGAAAGAAGAACUGGAAAAGUUGAGGCAUCUGAUUAAUAAGGGGAAGAAGGUAGAUAUAUAAGAUAACUCGGAGAGAUGGAAGAGGGGGACGGGAAGCUAUCACGGUUUCGUUUUGAUUUCGCACAACAAUCGUUAUAGAGUCUAUAUUACUAUUGAAGAUGCCAACGAUCAAGCCACAUUUAUAUUGACGGGAAAGCAAGCGCAGAACAACUAUUCGGAAGCAGCUGUCAAGAUUUGGUCAACAAAAGAUCAUAUCCAACAGAGAAAAACAAGGGUCCAGAAGUGACUUUUUGAAAUCAAAGUUAACGCCACAAGUGAACUCAUAAUCUAAGGUAUCUUCCCAGACAUACAACCCUUUGGACCACCACUGCAAGAAGAGCCAACCACUGCAACACCAAACCAUCCUGCUUCUGAUAGAAAAAAGAGCCAUUCAAACAAGCAGAAGAGAAUUAUUCACCUCUGUAUCGAACAAAAAAGCCAAGAGUGACAGGCAAGGUAAACAUGGAACAGCAACAUCAUCAUCAGGAACUAAGCACAGCCUCGCAACCAGAAAAAUGACUAAACACAAAUAACCAUGUUGUACAGCUAUAACUAGAAGAACCAAUGCUUUGAACCAGCUCCAACAACAACUCCAGCAUUUUGCGUAGCUUUUGCUAACCAACUCCAGCAUUUUGCGCAGCUCAAACUGAAGCAAUCAACUUGAUUUUGUACAGCUACAACUGGAACCAUCACUUUUUUGAACAAACUCCAGCAGCAGCUGUUUGUAAAUUAACUUAUAACUAAACCAGCCAGCUCUUUCAAUAUUCUGCAGCUGCUACUUUUACUAUGCUAAUAGCUACAACUAAAGCAGCCAGCUUUUUUGUACAGCUAGCAUUUAGGUAAAAUGCAUAAAGACUCUUUCACUAUUUCAACAAUUAUUUUUCCUUUUGUAUUUCAUCGUUCUAAUUUGUACACAAGAACAAAUUCUGCAGCAAAGCGUGGGUAAUAUUUCUAGUUCGUUCAAAA